CCUACGGGAGGCAGCAGUGAGGAAUAUUGGUCAAUGGGCGGAAGCCUGAACCAGCCAAGUAGCGUGCGGGAUGAAGGCUCUACGGGUCGUAAACCGCUUUUGCACGGGGAUAACACCCUCCACGUGUGGCGGUCUGCAGGUACCGUGCGAAUAAGGGCCGGCAAAGUCCGUGCCAGCAGCCGCGGUAAUACGGAGGGCCCGAGCGUUAUCCGGUUUCAUUGGGUUAAAAGGGAGCGUGGGCGGGCGUUCAAGUUAUCGGUAAAAUCGCGGGGCCCAACCGCGACCUGCAGUUGAAACUGGUCGGCUAGAGUGUACAACAGGUAGGCGGAAUUCGUGGUGUAGCGGGGAAAUGCUGAGAGAUCACGAGGAACCCCGAGUGCGAAGGCAGCCUACCGGGGUACGACUGACGUUGAGGCUCGAAGGCGCGGGGAGCAAACAGGAUUAGAUACCCUAGUAGUC
rnacentral:rRNA from 1 species